GAGGAAUAUUGGACAAUGGAGGCAACUCUGAUCCAGCCAUGCCGCGUGCAGGAAGACUGCCCUAUGGGUUGUAAACUGCUUUUAUACGGGAAGAAACACCGCUACG
rnacentral:rRNA from 1 species